CGAUCAAUUUUCUUCUGUUUCGAU
rnacentral:siRNA from 1 species